rnacentral:rRNA from 1 species
AGUAAUGUAUGGGGAUCUGCCUGAUGGCGGGGGAUAACUACUGGAAACGGUAGCUAAUACCGCAUAAUGUCUGCGGACCAAAGCGGGGGACCUCCGGGCCUCGCGCCAUCAGAUGAACCCAUAUGGGAUUAGCUAGUAGGUAAGGUAACGGCUUACCUAGGCGACGAUCCCUAGCUGGUCUGAGAGGAUGAUCAGCCACACUGGGACUGAGACGCGGCCCAG